rnacentral:rRNA from 1 species
GACGAACGCUGGCGGCGUGCUUAACACAUGCAAGUCGAACGGACGAGUGAGAUAAGUUUACUUAACUCACAAGUUAGUGGCGGACGGGUGAGUAACACGUGGAUAAUCUACCUGCAACACCGGGAUAACGCUGUGAAAACGGUGCUAAUACCGGAUACGUUCCCUUGUGCGCAUGUAUGAGGGAAGAAAGCUCAGGCGGUUGCAGAUGAGUCCGCGGCUGAUUAGCUAGUUGGUGAGGUAAAGGCUCACCAAGGCGAUGAUCAGUAGCCGGCCUGAGAGGGUGAACGGCCACACUGGGACUGAGACACGGCCCAGACUCCUACGGGAGGCAGCAGUGGGGAAUCUUCCGCAAUGGGCGCAAGCCUGACGGAGCAACGCCGCGUGGGUGAAGAAGGCCUCGGUUGUAACUAGCUUUGUUACGGUACGAAAGGUACGUUCUCUAAUACAGAGGGCCGACUGACGGUACCGUAACGGAAUAAGACACCGGCCUAACUAACGUGCCAGCAGCC